GUGAAUCAUCAAAUUUUUGAACGCAAAUUGCACUCCCUGGUAUUCCGGGGAGUAUGCCUGUUUGAGGGUCGUUAGAAUAAAAAAUCGAGGCGACGCUCUUUUUUUUAAGGGGGAUCGCGUCGGAAUUGAGCCGUCUUUCAAAUGUUAUUUCAUGUCAAAUUGGCUUAAAUUUCAUCCAUCCGGUACGAUAAAAGCGUAUUUAGGAUCAAUUUUAUUUAAGAACGCG
rnacentral:misc_RNA from 1 species